rnacentral:tRNA from 1 species
GCAGUGGUAACUCAGCGGUAGAGUGUGAGAUGUAAGGAUUUCCGCUUUGAAAAUUGCCAAGCUCCCUAACUAACAAUUAAUACAGUGCAAUAUUGCCUAGGCAUAGCAUACCAUCUUGAAGUCCCGUGUUCGAUCCACGGUCACUGCU